rnacentral:rRNA from 1 species
GAAAGCUGGCGUCUUCGGCGUCCGCAUUGUAAUCUCAAGAAGUGUUUUCCGCUUCGGACCAUGCCUAAGUCCCUUGGAAAAGGGCAUCAUAGAGGGUGAUAAUCCCGUACAUGGCAUGGAGCGCCCGAGGCUUUGUGAUACGCUUUCUAAGAGUCGAGUUGUUUGGGAAUGCAGCUCAAAAUGGGUGGUAAAUGCCAUCUAAGGCUAAAUAUUGGGGAGAGACCGAUAGCGAACAAGUACAGUGAUGGAAAGAUGAAAAGAACUUUGAAAAGAGAGUUAAACAGUACGUGAAAUUGCCAAAAGGGAAGGGUAGGAGGUCAGAGAUGCGUCUUGGGAUUCAGCCUUGCUUUUGCUUGGUGUUUUUCCCAAGUUGCAGGCCAACGUCGGUUUUGGGCACUGGAGAAGGGUGGAAGGAACGUGGCACCUCUCGGGGUGUGUUAUAGCCUUCUACUGGAUACAGCGACCGAGACCGAGGACAGCAGCGUACUCGCAAGAGCGGGCCUUCGGGCACCUUUACGCUUAGGGCGUUGGCAUAAUGGCCCUCUACCACCC